rnacentral:rRNA from 1 species
CGGGUGAGUAACACGUAUCCAACCUGCCGUCUACUCUUGGCCAGCCUUCUGAAAGGAAGAUUAAUCCAGGAUGGGAUCAUGAGUUCACAUGUCCGCAUGAUUAAAGGUAUUUUCCGGUAGACGAUGGGGAUGCGUUCCAUUAGAUAGUAGGCGGGGUGACGGCCCACCUAGUCAACGAUGGAUAGGGGUUCUGAGAGGAAGGUCCCCCACAUUGGAACUGAGACACGGUCCAA